rnacentral:rRNA from 1 species
AUACAGAGGGUGCAAACGUUGUUCGGAAUCACUGGGCUUAAAGCGCGCGUAGGCGGCGACAUCAGUGUCUUGCGAAAGCCCCCGGCUCAACCGGGGAACUGCAGGGCAUACUGUGUUGCUAGAGUACGAGAGGGGAGAGGAGAACUCCUGGUGGAGCGGUGGAAUGCGUAGAUAUCAGGAGGAAUGCCGAAGGUGAAGACACCUCUCUGGUUCGUAACUGACGCUAAGGCGCGAAAGCUAGGGUAGCGAACGGGAUUAGAUACCCUAGUAGUCC